GGCUCAGAUUGAACGCUGGCGGCAUGCCUUACACAUGCAAGUCGAACGGCAGCACGGGAGCUUGCUCCUGGUGGCGAGUGGCGAACGGGUGAGUAAUAUAUCGGAACGUGCCAGUCGUGGGGAUAACGUAGCGAAAGUUACGCUAAUACCGCAUACGAUCUAAGGAUGAAAGCGGGGGACUCGCAAGAGCCUCGCGCGAUUGGAGCGGCCGAUAUCAGAUUAGGUAGUUGGUGAGGUAAAGGCUCACCAAGCCGACGAUCUGUAGCUGGUCUGAGAGAACGACCAGCCACACUGGGACUGAGACACGGCCCAGACUCCUACGGGAGGCAGCAGUGGGGAAUUUUGGACAAUGGGCGAAAGCCUGAUCCAGCAAUGCCGCGUGCAGGAAGAAGGCCUUCGGGUUGUAAACUGCUUUUGUACGGAACGAAAAGGCUCUUUCUAAUAAAGAGGGCCCAUGACGGUACCGUAAGAAUAAGCACCGGCUAACUACGUG
rnacentral:rRNA from 1 species